rnacentral:rRNA from 1 species
UACGUAGGGGGCAAGCGUUGUCCGGAAUCAUUGGGCGUAAAGAGCGCGUAGGCGGCCCUGUAAGUCCGCUGUGAAAGUCAAGGGCUCAACCCUUGGAUGCCGGUGGAUACUGCAGGGCUAGAGUCCGGAAGAGGCGAGUGGAAUUCCUGGUGUAGCGGUGAAAUGCGCAGAUAUCAGGAGGAACACCGGUGGCGAAGGCGGGUCUCUGGGCAUCUCCUGACGCUGAGGCGCGAAAGCGUGGGGAGCAAACGGG